UGGGGAAUUUUGGACAAUGGGCGAAAGCCUGACGGAGCAACGCCGCGUGAAUGAUGAAGGCCUUCGGGUUGUAAAAUUCUGUCAUCAGGGAAGAAAUAAAUGACGGUACCUGAUGAGGAAGCCCCGGCUAACUACGUGCCAGCAGCCGCGGUAAUACGUAGGGGGCGAGCGUUGUCCGGAAUUAUUGGGCGUAAAGGGUUCGUAGGCGGUAAUACAUGUCAGAUGUGAAAUCUUGUGGAUUAACCACAUCAAGCAUCUGAAACUGUAUAACUUGAGGGGAGGGGAGGUAAGUGGAAUUCCUAGUGCAGCGGUGAAAUGCGUAGAUAUUAGGAAGAAUCCCAGUAGCGAAGGAGACUUA
rnacentral:rRNA from 1 species